UGUGGUAAAUACAAGGACAUUCACACUUCAGCACAGCAUAAGGUCAGAGUCCUCUCCAAAGUUACAGAAAACACAGUUCCUCACCAUGAGAUGGAUCUGGAACUUUGUCUUUCUUGUGUCAGUAACCACAGGUGUACACUCCCAGGUGAAGCUGCAGCAGUCUGGGGCUGAAUUGAUGAAGCCUGGAGCCUCAGUGAAGUUGUCCUGCAAGGCUUCUGGUUACACCUUCACUGACUAUGGCAUUACCUGGGUGAAGCAGAAGCCACGACAGGGCCUGGAGUGGAUUGGAGCUAUUAAUACUGUUAAUGGUUAUACUGCAUACAAUCAGAAGUUUCAAAACAAGACAAAACUGACUGUAGACAAAUCCUCCAGCACAGCCUACAUGGAACUCAGCAGCCUGACAUCUGAGGACUCUGCAGUCUAUUACUGUGCAAGAGACACAGUGUUGCAACCACAUCCUGAGUAUGACAGAAACCCCGGAGGAGAAGGAAGCUGCCCUGGGACUGAGAUGACAGGGAAGAUCAGCCUGAACUUUCUCAGAAAUAAUCAUUCUGAGUGUCCCUUUGUCUGUUACUUCACAUUCUUACAGUGUCUUUAG